AUGAACGCUGGCCGCGUGCCUAAUACAUGCCAGUCCAGCCAACAGACGAGGAGCUUGCUCCUCUGACGUUAGCGGCGGACGGGAGGGUAACACGUGGAUAACCUACCUAUAAGACUGGGAUAACUUAGGGAAACCGGAGCUAAUACCGGAUAAUAUAUUGAACCGCAUGGUUCAAUAGUGAAAGACGGUUUUGCUCUCACUUAUAGAUGGAUCCGCGCCGCAUUAGCUAGUUGGUAAGGUAACGGCUUACCAAGGCAACGAUGCGUAGCCGACCUGAGAGGGUGAUCGGCCACACUGGAACUGAGACACGGUCCAGACUCCUACGGGAGGCAGCAGUGGGGAAUCUUCCGCAAUGGGCGAAAGCCUGACGGAGCAACGCCGCGUGAGCGAUGAAGGUCUUCGGAUCGUAAAACUCUGUUAUUAGGGAAGAACAAAUGUGUAAGUAACUAUGCACGUCUUGACGGUACCUAAUCAGAAAGCCACGGCUAACUACGUG
rnacentral:rRNA from 1 species